ACCAGAAUCAGAAGGCUCCCACCAAGGGAUGCGACUUGAAUCCCACUAAACUUUAAGUUAUGGCUGCUGCCUAGUCACUUCAGCACACGUGUACCAAGAGAACUGCAGCCAAAUACAGGAAUCAACAUACUGUCAGGAAUAAUUAUCCUGAUUGGAAAGAGGAAGAACUGCAGUUAUAUAAUGAGACCAGGAAGAACAGAUUUGGCAAUCUCAUUGAUCCACCAGGGCAUCUCUCAUGGUUCCUUCAUUCGAUUUUGUCAUUAAAUGGAUGGGGAAAGCAGACAAAGCCUGAGAAGGACAUUAUGGCCAGAGGAUCAGACCACUCAAAGAAGAUGGUCUGAGUCACCUUUCCAGAAUAAAAGGCAAAACAGAAUCCUGACAGGAGCUAUUCCCAUACGAGGAGAACCUACUAGCAGAAGUGAAAGGAUCUGAUAUUUCAAGAGGUGGACUGCUUUGUUGGGCGACAGGAGGCCAUGUGACACUCUCCUGGACAAUGAAACUAAAGCAGAAUUUCCUGGAGAGACAUUUUUCCUCUGAGUAGAAAGAAAACCUCACUGACGGAAG
ensembl:lncRNA